rnacentral:rRNA from 1 species
CCUACGGGUAGCAGCAGUGAGGAAUAUUGGUCAAUGGGCGAGAGCCUGAACCAGCCAAGUCGCGUGAGGGAGUACUGCCCUAUGGGUUGUAAACCUCUUUUGUCGGGGAGCAAAAGCCGGACGUGUCCGGCUGUGAGCGUACCCGAAGAAACAGCAUCGGCUAACUCCGUGCCAGCAGCCGCGGUAAUACGGAGGAUGCGAGCGUUAUCCGGAUGUAUUGGGUUAAAAGGGUGCGCAGGCGGAUUUUUAAGUCAGCGGUAAAAUCGUGGGGCUCAACCCCAUCCAGCCGUUGAAACUGGGGAUCUAGAGUGUGCGAGAGGGAUGCGGAAGGAGUGGUGUAGCGGUGAAAUGCAUAGAUAUCACGCAGAACCCCGAUUGCGAAGGCAGUAUACCGGUGCACAACUGACGCUCAGGCACGAAAGCGUGGGUAUCGAACAGGAUUAGAUACCCGGGUAGUC